ACUUCUAACCAAAUAAUACCCACCAAAUUGAUGAGUAGCAUUUACACCUUUUGCCUUCAAAGUGCUGCACAUCACAUCUCAUGGAUGCGUGGAGAAUGGCCCUCCUUCUCCCUCUGCAGUUUUGCCAUUUGGGUUUGAUAUUUGCACCGUACACAAUACCAUAUUAUCUUGUCCACACCAAACCUCUCCCUCACAAUUUUUCUUCUUUCUAUUUAGGCCAA
rnacentral:misc_RNA from 1 species